ensembl:lncRNA
UACACAGCAAAUUGAGCAGAGUUAAAUUUCUGGUGUUAAUAAAGAUAGAGUCAAUCGAACUCUAUUUGGAAUUGAUCUAAAUCUGUAUGUUGUUAAAUCUGUUUGAUUUCACACUGCACCACAAAAGAGUUGGUGUCAAAAUGGAGUGUUAUUACUGUUAUUGUGAAACCAACUCUAUGGGUCGUCAGUCUCUCAGCUCGGGUGUAAGGAGUGACUACCCUCUGGCAUCGCGCGAACAAUAAUCUCGUGAGAGCAACAAUCUGGCGGGAUUCAAGUAAUUUACCUGCACAACUCAACUGGAACGCAACGAGCAGCACAACGUUUUCGAGGAGAGUUUGUUCAAAAUUGAAGAAAACGUGUUGCAUUGUGUCGGAAAUGUUGGCUAAAGUGGAAAUUGGAGGGGUCCUAAAAUACGUGAAAAUUCCAGAGACUGAUGGAUUUUUUCAAUUUGAUAUGUUCCUUCAAGAAGUGAACGACAAGUUUAGUCUGCACCCAGACAGCUUCAGCGAGGGCCAGUUCACCAUCACAGAUAUGUCAGGAACAGAGGUGGAUGGAGAUAUCUUUGAUGAGGUUGUCAAGUCGGGUGUCCUGACCUUCAAGGUCCCUUUACCAGUAAUGGAUCUGGAUGUUGAGCUGGUUGCAGAUCAAGCAUCCUCCUCUGUAUUGACAUCGCUGUCCCCAACUUCAUCCCAUUCAUCCUUGGUAGUGGCACAGACUGCACUAUCCCCAGCUUUAUCCCAUUCAUCUGAUUCCACCGUUAUUCUGGAGUCCACAAGAAAAAGGAGGAACCCAACAGGGUUAAUGGACCAGAAUGAAGCAAAACAGAUGGUUGAGGGUGUUCUGAGGGCCAAUCCAAAGGGUGAAGAAGUCUUUAAUGAGUAUGAUAAGACUAAAACACUAACUGAUGCAACCCGUAAACAAAUGGUGAACAUCCUGGUUGCAGAUAUGAUAGAGCUACAUGGGAGGGUUCCACCGUCAAGUGUAAGGACCAAUUAUGCACUGGGAAUUGUGACUCUUUUUCCAUACCUCCGUGAUCCAUUCUCCAAACUUGGAUAUGAUGGGACAGUGAUAUGUCUUCAAUCCUUUUGCUGCUGCAUCUACUCCCUCCAACUUCAAGGGGCCAGAAAAAAACUGCCAAGAUCAGUUCAGCUCAAGCAACCAGCCAUCUUGUUAGAUAUCUUAAGGAAGGAGCCAGUAUUCCUACCUUCCUUGAGAGUGUCGACGCAAACAACCGUUCCUCCUUUGCAUCGGUGAGCAAAAGAAGAAUAUCCAAAGGUUCUACCUUAUUAUCGACCGAAAACCACUCCCGUGCAAGGCACACACAUCAGUGGCAGCUUUAGACAUUACAUUUGGCCGCCUGUUCAAAUGUUACAAGUACAAGGUGGGUCAGAUAUUACGGUACUGAGUACCAGGUUGGGUUGUACUUAUGCACUGGAUGUACCGAUGAUCUUCCUGUGUUCAAAAAGAUCUGUGAUAUUAUAAUACAUGAACAGCACGCUUUCAUAAUAUCCUGUAAUGUACAAACAAUGUACUAUGAUGACCACUUUAGUGCAUACUGUAUAGAAGACCAAAUGAAUGUGUUUUCUGUCAUAUCUGUGAAGGCACUGACUUAUUUUAGACCAUUUGACAAGCAAUGCUCUAAUGACAAUAGUCAAAGAGCGAACAUAGUGCCUUAUUGUUACAUUUAGAUAAAUGUACAGCAAUGAAAAAA